UACGUCCUACGGGACGCAGCAGUGGGGGAUAUUGCACAAUGGGGGGAACCCUGAUGCAGCGACGCCGCGUGGGUGAAGGAGCGUUUCGGCGCGUAAAGCCCUAUCGGCAGGGAAGAGGGAGGACGGUACCUGACUAAGAAGCCCCGGCUAACUACGUGCCAGCAGCCGCGGCAAUACGUAGGGGGCAAGCGUUAUCCGGAUUUACUGGGUGUAAAGGGGGCGCAGACGGCAGCGCAAGCCAGGAGUCAAAGCC
rnacentral:rRNA from 1 species